GAUGAACGCUGGCGGCGUGCCUAAUACAUGCAAGUCGAGCGAACAGACGAGGAGCUUGCUCCUCUGACGUUAGCGGCGGACGGGUGAGUAACACGUGGAUAACCUACCUAUAAGACUGGGAUAACUUCGGGAAACCGGAGCUAAUACCGGAUAAUAUAUUGAACCGCAUGGUUCAAUAGUGAAAGACGGUUUUGCUGUCACUUAUAGAUGGAUCCGCGCCGCAUUAGCUAGUUGGUAAGGUAACGGCUUACCAAGGCAACGAUGCGUAGCCGACCUGAGAGGGUGGAGCGGCACCCCGGGACCGGGACACGGGCCCAACCUCCUAGGGGAGCCGCCAUGGGGAAUUUUUCGGCAUUGGGGAAAGGCCGGCCGGACCACCGCCGGGUGAGUAAAAAGGUUUUUCGUAUCGAAAACCUUUUUUAUUGGGAAAAAAAAAGUGUGAAAGAAACUAUGCCCUUUUUAAGGGACCCUAACAAAAAACCCACGGCAAACUAGGUC
rnacentral:rRNA from 1 species